GGGCCAGUGCCGCAACGGGUAACGCGCCUGACUACGGAUCAGGAAAUUCCAGUUUCGAAUCAUGCCUGGUUCG